GAUGAAGAACGUAGCGAAAUGCGAUAAGUAAUGUGAAUUGCAGAAUUCAGUGAAUCAUCGAAUCUUUGAACGCACAUUGCGCCCCUUGGUAUUCCGGGGGGCAUGCCUGUUCGAGCGUCAUUAUAACCCCUCAAGCUCAGCUUGGUGUUGGGGCCUGCCAACUGGCAGCCCUUAAAAUCAGUGGCGGCGCCAUCUGGCUCUAAGCGUAGUAAUUUCUCUCGCUAUAGGGUCCAGGUGGAUGCUGGCCAGCAACCCCCAAUUUUCUAUGGUUGACCUCGGAUCAGGUAGGGAUACCCGCUGAACUUAAGCAUAUCAAUAAGCGGAGGA
rnacentral:misc_RNA from 1 species